GACCCGGAGCCCGGGCUGGCCGAGGCUCCGCCCCCUCCCGGAUCUGGGGAGAUGCAUAUUCCGUCUACCCUGUCUGCGUCCCCGGGCGGACCGGUACCGCCGUCCCGAGCAUCGCCCAGGGGUGGUCCUGAGACCCCAGACGCCCGAAUUCCGAUCGGUUAAGGUGGUCUGGGCUUCCUCUUCAGGGGUUUACUAGUUAUAAGGCUGAACCCCAGCCCUUGUCUUUCCUUGAUUUUAUUUAUUUAAAAGAUUAAUCUUUCUCUUCCUCUCUUCCAUCCGUCUCCGCCCUCUGCUAUGCUAUUAUUGCCUAACACUGAUUCAUCCUCAGUUAUCUCCCAGAAGCAAAUCAAUUUCUCUCUCUGUACAAUCUUCUUUAAACAAUUUGGACUGUUUGUCCUCCACACCCUGCUAAGCAAAGUGUAGUCCCGGAACCAGCAGCGUCAACAUCCUGAGGCGAGCUUGUUAAAAAUGCCGAAUUUCAGGUUCCACUCAGACUUCUUGAAUCAGAAUCUGCAUUUUAACCAGAUCCGCCACUAAUUCCUGCACACGUCAAAGUCUGAGAGGCGCUGGGUUCAGCUGAUGUCCUGGGGUCUCCCUCACUGCCGUCCAGGGAAUGAGCCAUACUUCAUUCCUGAGAUGGAUUCCCUAUUUCCUGAAUCUGUAUGCUCCUUUUUCUUGAUUUUGUCCUCUCAUUUUGUGGAACAUAUCCUCCAGUAGUUUCUUGUGGAAUGUUGCAGGCAGAUAAGGCGGCUAAGACUCAGAGAGGGACAGAGCUUUGGGUCCCUUGUUUUUCAAAUGGUCAGUAACAAAGAUAAUGAGGAUAUGCAACAGGUAAUUAUUUUCUUCUGCUUUCUUUAAGUUUGUUGGGGAUUCUUUGUUGCUACUUUGGGCAAAAUAGCUUAGCCUCUUGCCUGCUAGGAUGUUGGAAGAGGUCGUGGAAAGGAUGUGACCACUGGUUGACCCUCGGGUUGGACCUGGGCAGUUGGAGGCUCCUCACCCCUCCCCUGUCCUUGGAAUGUGUGCUCCGCUUGCCUUCCCCUGCACUCGAAGCUGUCCCAUGGACACAGCCUUGAGAUAGUAACGUGUUGUUGAGAUCAUCUGGAUGGUAUACAUGACUGAACCCAGUGAAAGCCUCUAUAAACAUUUAAGAUUCUGGUGGGUGGAUGUGGAGAUCCUCACAUCUUGCCGCUGCCCAAGACAAGCCUGGUAGGAGGCAGUUGUCUAGCCAUGGACUUCAUUUUCCAGCCCAUCCUCCAUCCCAGUGUGGCCACGUGAUGAACUGUUGCUGAUGGAAUGUAAAGACAGGUCUGAGUCCCCAGGUGAUGACAGAGCCACAAGGUAGAAGGAACCUGGACCUCUCAAUCACCACAUGGAGGAAAGCCACCCAACAGGAACAGCUGAGUUGAUUUGACUCCUUCAUGAGCAAGAAAUAAACUUUUACUAUAUUAA